UACUAAAAUAGACUAAUUAGGUCACCUCUUUACCUUUUCAAUAAACUAAACAAACUGAGCUUCUGAAGUCUCACACUGUAAAAUAGGUUUUCCAGCCCUUGAAGCAUUCCCGCAGCUCUUUUGUGGCCUGUAUCUGAUUUUUCAAUUUCCUUUUUGAAAUGGGGAGACAAGGGCUGGACAAGAGUAUUCCAGCAAGGAUCUCCCCUGUGUUGUAAAGAAAGGUUAUUUGUUCCCUACUCCUACUCAGUAUUCCACUGUUUGUAAAUCCUCAGACCACCUUUGUUUUCUUAAAGGAAACAGUUCACAGAGAGUUCAGAUGCAGAUGGUCAUGCACCAACUCUUUCUCAGAAUCACCGCUUUGGGGGAUAAAGGCUUCUGUUCUAAUGACAAAUGUUCUUCUUGUUGUGAAGAAGAGGCCCAGGUAGUGUGGAUGUGUGAAGGGAAGCCCCUGGAAGAGUUCACUGAUCUGGGUCUUUAUAGUGACACUCCUAAUUUAGUACGGCAGCUGAUCAUAAAACACCUACAACUGAUCCUGUGGUAGUAUAUAGAUAUCUACUCCUAUGAGCAGACUACUCACCUGGUACUUCCGGUGGCAUAACUCAAAACAAAGGGGAAAGAGAGAAAGUUGCUGGAUGGGAGAAGAGGAGGGACCCUGACAAAUUGAAUUACAGGUUGUGCUUUCUCUUCUCUUUUCAUUCUGCCAUGGAUGGAAGGCAGUUAUCAAAAAUGCUGAGAGGAGGAUCCAUGCUUCCAGGAGAAAGAGGCAAAGGACAUUAAAGGUCUGACUUUACAUGUGCUUUAGCUUUCACUAUUCUUUGCCUCCUUGCUUCCUGGUACCAACAUUGAUUGUCUGGAAACUUCUGCGGGAUGAGAGAAGAGGCAAUAAACAACAAACAACAGUCAUAUAAAAACAAUGAACUACUGAAAUUUUGAAAAACAAUGAACUAUUAGGCAUUUGCAGUAACCCCUCUCCCCAAAUUUAAGCUUACUACUAUACAAUGUACUCAUCAUGUGAAUAAUUGCAAUAAAGACAAUAAAAAAGUCAGACAAUUUUAAACAUUCCUGAUCAUAUUGUACUCCCCUCCAUUGAUAUCAAUGGAAGUUAAUCACAAAAUAAUAGACCAUGGACCUUACUAUCUAUAAGGAAUUUUUAUGUGCCAUUUAGAGACCAAAAUCUAGUUUUACUCCAUAGUUUACUUUCCUAAUUCAUUCUAAGAGUCAAAAGAAAUAAAAUUGAUUUCUCGUUGUCAAUGUCACAAGUA